CAGUGAUGCUCCAAUAACAGAUUGUCAGGACAAAGAAAAUUUUUGUAUAACACCUUCCACUACACCAUCUGCAAUCACAACUCCUGCACCAACCAUGGCUCCAACCACAGCAGCUCCAACCCAGGCCCCAUCCAGCGACAAGGGC